GCCAGAGUAGUUCAGUGGUAGAACGCAAAAUUGGUAAUUUUGAAGUCGAGGGUUCGAUUCCCUCCUCUGGCU
rnacentral:tRNA from 1 species